rnacentral:rRNA from 1 species
UACGGAGGGUGCAAGCGUUGUUCGGAAUUACUGGGCGUAAAGGGCGCGUAGGCGGCCCGCUAAGUCGAACGUGAAAUCCCCGAGCUCAACUCGGGAACUGCGUCCGAUACUGGCGGGCUUGAAUCCGGGAGAGGGAUGCGGAAUUCCAGGUGUAGCGGUGAAAUGCGUAGAUAUCAGGAAGAACACCGAUGGCGAAGGCAGCUCUCUGGGACGGUACUGACGCUGAGACGCGAAAGCGUGGGGAGCGAACAGG